GGUCCUUCACCUGAUAGUUAUUAGGCCCAACCUCAUCUGCAUCCGCAUGAUAUCUCAUGCUAAUAGAGUGAUUGUAUCUUCCCGAUGCAACUGAAUUACUGUAUCCAGCCAAAAAUAAUCAAUAUCGAAAAGGACCCGUACAUCUAUAAUGGUAGAAGACCACUAAACUAUAUAUUUAUGAGAAGAUUUUAUUUAGAUCUCUUAUUCUUAAUUAUUUAUUUAUAUCUGAUGUAAAUC
rnacentral:lncRNA from 1 species